AAACGUAUAGGCCCUACUAUCAGUUAAAGGAUGCCCGGUAAACCACUGUGCGUCACCAGACAAGGAAGACUUUUAUUUGGCUGUCGUUUGCUGCGAGUCGGUUGACAGUUUGUCUUUGGUGAACAUGAACUAUGAUGUUUUGCCAAUUUUUUUUACUUUAUUAUGUUUCGGUUAACUUGGGAGCGUACUGUGUUAUUGUACAAGGCGUCGUCAAUGAGUCGUCUCAAGAUUUUACUGACAACACGCGCGGCAAAUUUGACGUUUUACGCUCGUCAUACCUUUUGAAAAACCGCAAAAGAAGACAGCUGGAUAUAUUUCAGCAGAUUGCGAAUUCAUUAGGCGGUAAUGUCUACAACAGUAACAAAGGUUCCAUUGGAGACGCAGUCAAAGUGGUUUCUGAGGAAAUAGAGAACACAGCUAAAGUAACGAUAGCAAAGUACAUAUGGCAAAGCACAGCGACUUCUCAAUAUAUCCCGGUUGACAGCGAACUUCGUGAAGUAUCUAUUGCUUUACAGGGAACGGCGACUUCCAUAGAUAUAUUUAAUGGUAG